UAAAAGUCGUAACAAGGUCUCCGUUGGUGAACCAGCGGAGGGAUCAUUACCGAGUUUACAACUCCCAAACCCAAUGUGAACGUUACCAAACUGUUGCCUCGGCGGGAUCUCUGCCCCGGGUGCGUCGCAGCCCCGGACCAAGGCGCCCGCCGGAGGACCAACCAAAACUCUUUUGUAUACCCCCUCGCGGGUUUUUAUAUCUGAGCCAUCUCGGCGCCUCUCGUAGGCGUUUCGAAAAUGAAUCAAAACUUUCAACAACGGAUCUCUUGGUUCUGGCAUCGAUGAAGAACGCAGCGAAAUGCGAUAAGUAAUGUGAAUUGCAGAAUUCAGUGAAUCAUCGAAUCUUUGAACGCACAUUGCGCCCGCCAGUAUUCUGGCGGGCAUGCCUGUCCGAGCGUCAUUUCAACCCUCGAACCCCUCCGGGGGGUCGGCGUUGGGGAUCGGCCCUUUACGGGGCCGGCCCCGAAAUACAGUGGCGGUCUCGCCGCAGCCUCUCCUGCGCAGUAGUUUGCACACUCGCAUCGGGAGCGCGGCGCGUCCAUUGCCGUUAAACACCCAACUUUCUGAAAUGU
rnacentral:rRNA from 1 species